AAGCUGUCUGGGGAAUCGCUCGGCUCGAGCGCCGAGGAAGGUCGUGUCAAGCUGCGAUAAGCGCCGGGUAGGUGCAAGAAGCCUAUGAUCCGGUGACCGCCUAAUGGGACUUCCUAAUCUUCGGAUUGAUCCGGAAGGAUCGGGAACGCGGGGGAUCGAAACAUCCUAGUACCCGCAGGAAAAGAAAUCAACCGAGAUGCCGUUAGUAAAGGCGAUCGAAAGCGGCACAGGGUAAACCGAAUGGCUCCCAGAAAUGGGAGCUAGAUGUGGUGUUGUUGGACUCGAUACUUCUUACUCGGCUAAUCAGAAGUCAACUGGAACGUUGCACCAUAGAGGGUGAUAGUCCCGUACGAGUGAACUGAGAAGAAGAUUUUGAGUAUCCAGAGUACCGCGCGUUAGAUAUCGCGCGUGAAUCCGGGGGACACUUACCUCCAACCCUAAACACGUCUCGAGACCGAUAGCGCAGUAGUAGCGUGAGUGAAAACUGAAAAGCACCCUUGACGGGAGGUUAAAAGAGCGUGAAACCAGACAGCGAUAUUCAGAUACGGCAUGAAAGGGACGAAGCCGCAAGGCUGACCAGUGUCGUAUCGUCCGUUUCGAAUAACGGGCCAGGGAGUUCUGUUCAAUGGCGAGACUAAGCUUGAAGAAGCGGAGUCGAAGGGAAACCAAAUAGCCCGCAACGCCGCAAGGCGCGAGGGGCUAGGUGCGCUCGCCUGGAGUCAUUGGAGGGAUACCCGAAGCCAGUUGAUCUAUGCCUGGAUAGGUUGAAGCCCGUCGAAAGGGGGGUGGAGGACCGAACCGGUAAUGAUGUGCAAAUCUUUCGGAUGAUCUGGGCAUAGGGGUGAAAGGCCAAUCUAAACUGGGAAUAGCUGGUUCCCCCUGAAACUACUCGCAGGUAGAUCUCAGCUGAGAUAGGUCGUGGGGUAGAGCGACUGAUCAGAGACUUAGGCCGGGAAACCGGUCGGCCUCUUGUCAAACUCCGAACUUGCGACCGUCAUAGACGUUGGGAGUGAGGGCCUCUGGGGUAAGCUUGGGGUCCGUAAGGGAAUGCAACCCAGCCUAGAGUUAAGGUCCCUAAAUUCCGGCUAAGUGUAACAUGAAAAGUAGUCUGUAGUCCAAGACAACCGGGAGGUGGGCUUAGAAGCAGCCAUCCUUUAAAGAAAGCGUAACAGCUCACCGGUCGAGAUUAUGGGCGCUGAAAAUGGACGGGGCUAAGCCGGGUACCGAUACUUUAGAGCACUGCAAAGUGAUCUUGUAAGGGGGCGUCGGGCGUGGGUAGAAGCAUGGCUGUGAGGUCAUGUGGACCGCGUUCGAACGAUGAUCCUGGUGGGAGUAGCAGCAAAGAACGGUGAGAAUCCCCUCGGCAAUGUUCGUCAGCCGAGGGUUAGCCGAUCCUAACGCACUCCUUAAUCGAAAGUGCGGAAAGGGAAGCAGGUUAAUAUUCCUGCGCCACUGAAGUCUCUGCCUAUCAUCUCCACAUCCGGAUAUGCUGAACAAGUUUACCUGCUUGUCCAAGUGUUGAAUCCCGGGAAGAACCGUAAUGGUGAGAACCGGGGGAAUGCAUGAGCGGGAGGACGAAAGUCCUCUUCAGCUGAGUCCAGGUGUCCAUGAAAAGGGUGAUAGUAAUACAACUUCUGUGUUCGUACCAAGAACUGACACAGGUGCCCCUAGGUGAGAAGCCUAAGACGUGUCGGCGUAAUCCAGGCGAGGGAAUUCGGCAAAUUAGCCCCGUACCUUCGGUAUAAGGGGUGCCAGCCUUGAAAAAGGCUGGUCUCAGUAACAAGGGAGCUCCGACUGUUUAAUAAAAACACAGGUCACAGCAAGUCCGAAAGGAUGUGUAUUGUGGCUGAAGCCUGCCCAGUGACGGUAUCUGAAUCUCGGGUUCAACCGAACGAAGGACCGUUAAACGGCGGGGGUAACUAUGACCCUCUUAAGGUAGCGUAAUACCUUGUCGCUUAAUUGGCGACUCGCAUGAAGGCCCAACGAGAGCUCUACUGUCCCCGCCUGGAAGCCGGUGAAACCGAUAGUACUGGCGCAGAAUCCAGUACCUUCCACCUGAAAGCGAAGACCCCAUGGAGCUUUACUGCAGCCUGUCGUUGUGGUAUGAGCCUGGAUGUGUAGGGUAGGCGGGAGACGUUACCCAGGAUGUGCCGCUAGGUACACUCCGAGUCAACGAUGAAACACCGCCCUUCUGGGUUCGUAUCACUAACUUCGUGAGAAGGACACCGAUAGGUGGGCAGUUUGGGUGGGGCGCCACGCGCUCAAUAAGCAAACAAGCGCGCCCAAUGGUUAGCUCAGGCAGGUCAGAAAUCUGCCGGAGAGUGUAAAGGCAAAAGCUAGCUUGACGCCGUUCCGGAUAACAAGGAACGGCGAUACGAAAGUAGGGCUUAACGAACCAAUGAACCUUCUAUGUGGGGGUCAUUGAUGACAGAAAAGUUACCCUGGGGAUAACUGAGUCGUCGCCAGCAAGAGUUCAUAUCGACCUGGCGGCUUGCUACUUCGCUGUCGGCUCUCCCUAUCCUGGCGGUGCAGCAGCUGCCAAGGGUGGGGUUGUUCGCCCAUUAAAAGGGAUCGUGAGCUGGGUUUAGACCGUCGUGAGACAGGUUUGUUGCUUUUUGGUGGAAGUGUAUAGAUGCCUGACGAGAAGGACCCUUUAGUACGAGAGGAACGGGGGUCCCUAGCCUCUAGUUUAUCAAUUGUCUGGUAAGGCAUUGUUGAGCAGCCACGCUGGCGUGGAUAAGAGCUGAAAGCAUCUAAGCUCGAAACUACCUUGGAAAAGAGGCAUCUU
rnacentral:rRNA from 1 species